GUGUCAGCAGCCGCGGUAAAACGUAGGAGGCGAGCGUUAUCCGGAUUUACUGGGCGUAAAGCGCGCGCAGGCGGCUUGGUAAGUUGGACGUGAAAGCUCCUGGCUUAACUGGGAGAGGCCGUUCGAAACUGCCAGGCUUGAGGUUGGGAGAGGGGUGCGGAAUUCCCGGUGUAGUGGUGGAAUGCGUAGAUAUCGGGAGGAACACCAGUGGCGAAGGCGGCACCCUGGCCCACACCUGACGCUGAGGUGCGAAAGCGUGGGGAGUAAACAGGAUUAGAUACCCUGGUAAUCCACGCCGUAAACGAUGUCAACUAGGUGUCGGUGGUGUUACACUAUCGGUGCCGAAGCAAACGCGUUAAGUUGACCGCCUGGGGACUACGGCCGCAAGGCUAAA
rnacentral:rRNA from 1 species